AUAAAAUUGAUGACCUACGCGGAACAUUAUACUACCAACGGGACAUUCAAAACUCUAAUAUCUUAUGCUUCACAGAUUCAUGGCUGAACGGCGACAUUAUCAACAUAGAACAAUGGCGUCUGGGGGAUGUGUUCGUUGCCAUGGGUUUCCACAAGCGGAGUUACGGACGUUUCCAUGGACGCAUCUACUUACAGGACUCGGCUCCUACGGAUGCGUCGCUGGUCAUCACAGAGCUCACACUGGAGGAUUAUGGGAGAUAUAAGUGUGAGGUCAUCGACAGGAUGGAAAACGGCUCGGGUGUGGUGUCUCUGGACCUACAUGCUGGUUCGUUACAACCUGAACUUCUUUGACGCUGAGUGGGAGUGUUCCGAUCAGGACUCCAUCAUGGCGUCGUUUGACCAGCUGUAUGAGGCUUGGCAUGGGGGUUUGGACUGGUGCAACGCACGGUGGGGGAGUGAUAGGUAGGUUCUCACACACAUUGAGAACCUAUUACAUUUACAGAGAAAAAAAGGGGGAGGGGGAUGUGGGAGAGGAGAUAGGAGAGAGGGAGGUCAUGUGGAGGAAGUUAGUGGUAUCACUAAAACUGUGAUAUUUUAUUUUUAGAUACUGUAAAACACGAGGUGUGAGACAAAAUCCAUGUUUUUUUUGUAAUCUGGGACCUGAAAUUGUACAGACAUAGUUUACGCCUGUACAAUUUAAGGUUCAUUUGAUUUAAUCUCUUAUUUCUAUGCAGGAACAGAAAGGGAAGAUGGAUUUGAGGGAGGGAGGGACGGAGAUAAAGAUGAUGUCACAUAUUCCCAAAGUGACAUUGUUAGUGGAUUAUUCAUGCCAUAGCCCGAAGGACGUGUUUAGACUGAGAACAACCUGGUACAACUUCUGAUAAUUGGACUGAUACCUUUGGACACUUACCUGUUCUGUGCAAUUAAACCUAGGACAACAAAAGAACAACACUAUUUACACAAAAACUAAACGCAAAGAUGGUGUAAACGCAAAAAUGUGUAGAGGAUGAAGUAGAGGCAUAGCGGUAGAGGAUAUAGUAGGAUGAUAGGGAUAUGGGAUAUAGUAGGUUAGUAGAAGGGGACAUAUUAGGAGCCCUUGGGGUAGAGGAUAAAUCAGAGGAUGGGUGCAGAGGAUAUAGUAGGAGGAUAUGGGUAGGGGGUAUGGUAGGAGGAAAAGGGUUAGAGGAUAUAACAAGAGGAUAGUGGUAGAGGAUAUAGUAGGAGGAUAGGGGUUGGUGAUAUAGUAGGAGGAUAGGGGUAGAGGAUAUAGAAUGAGCCCUUGGGU